UUGGAGGGCAAGUCUGGUGCCAGCAGCCGCGGUAAUUCCAGCUCCAAUAGCGUAUAUUAAAGUUGUUGCAGUUAAAAAGCUCGUAGUUGAAUUUCGGGGUUAGUAGGUUGGUCAUGCCUCUGGUAUGUACUGGUCUCACUGAUUCCUCCUUCCUUAUGAACCGUAAUGCCAUUAAUUUGGUGUUGCGGGGAAUUUGGACUGUUACUUUGAAAAAAUUAGAGUGUUUAAAGCAAGCUAACGCUUGAAUACAUUAGCAUGGAAUAAUGAAAUAGGACGUUCGAUCCUAUUUUGUUGGUUUCUAGGAUUGACGUAAUGAUUAAUAGGGAUAGUUGGGGGCAUUAGUAUUCAAUUGUCAGAGGUGAAAUUCUUGGAUUUAUUGAAGACUAACUACUGCGAAAGCAUUUGCCAAGGAUGUUUUCAUUAAUCAAGAACGAAAGUUAGGGGAUCGAAGACGAUCAGAUACCGUCGUAGUCUUAACCAUAAACUAUGCCGACUAGGGGAUCGGGAUGAUGUUAAUUUUUAAUGACUCAUUCGGCGCCUUACGGGGAAACC
rnacentral:rRNA from 1 species